CCUACGGGAGGCUGCAGUGGGGAAUAUUGCACAAUGGGCGCAAGCCUGAUGCAGCCAUGCCGCGUGAGUGAAGAAGGCCUUAGGGUUGUAAAGCUCUUUCGCCGGUGAAGAUAAUGACGGUAGCCGGAGAAGAAGCCCCGGCCAACUCCGUGCCAGCAGCCGCGGUAAUACGGAGGGGGCUAGCGUUGUUCGGAAUUACUGGGCGUAAAGCGCGCGUAGGCGGGCUGGUAAGUUGGGGGUGAAAUCCCGAGGCUCAACCUCGGAACUGCCCUCAAAACUGCCAAUCUUGAGUCCGGGAGAGGUGAGUGGAAUUCCUAGUGUAGAGGUGAAAUUCGUAGAUAUUAGGAAGAACACCAGUGGCGAAGGCGGCUCACUGGCCCGAGACUGACGCUGAGGCGCGAAAGCGUGGGGAGCAAACAGGAUUAGAUACCCUUGUAGU
rnacentral:rRNA from 1 species